GACCCGGAGCUGGAAGCUGGGAUGCAGCGAGAGCGGAGGCGGGGUCAGACCUCUGCACGCUGGACUGGAGGCGCGCCGGGCUCGGAGGCGGGGAAGACCGAGGGGACGCGGGGUCAAGGCUCCCCAGGUUAACAAAGCCAGCACGAGGAAACUGAGGAUUAGAGAGGAGACCUGCCCAAGUCAAAGGCAGAACCAGGACUGGAAGCCAGGAGCUCUAAAGUAAAACCCCAGCUGCUUCCCUGAGAAGAGGGGCUUGAAUCAGAUCGUCAUGUUCCUCUUCCUAGUUUCCAAUUCUGUGAUUCUCUCUGUUAGUGCAUCCCCCUCUCCCUUCAAGGUUUCCCAGCUGAUUCACCUGUGUAUGCAUCUCAAUGUAUAUCGCUGAAACUACACUGUCCCUGAAAGACCAACAAUAAAACCAGUUGCAAAGGGCCUGGGCUGUAGACCAUCAAAGAUGAAAAGAAUCUAAGAGAUUGCUCAAUCCAAUCGUUUUCAAAAUUAUUUUUAUUGAGAAGUAUAUUAUACAUACAGAAGUGUAUAAAACAUGUUCAUCUUCAAUGCUAACAAAAAGUGAAUACUUGUACAACUAACACCCAGGUUAAGAAACAGAACAUUACUAGCACCUUAGAAAUGCCCCAACCAUUGUAUUGCCUUCCUUGCCCUGGAAGUAACCAUGACCCUGACUUUUGUUAUAAUAAUGCCCUUGCUUUUCUAAAUACUUUUUCUAUUCAUGUAUGCAUUUCUAAACAAGAUAUUGUCUGAUUUUUUCAUGUUAUUGGUGUUAUAUAAAUGAAGUUAAUACUAUAUGUAUUUUCCUGUGACUUGCUUCUCUCACUAUUAUGUUGUGGGAUUCACCCAGUGUUGAUGCUGUGUAGUUGAAGUUUUUUCCAUUGUUGGACAGUACUCUAAUAUAUGAAUAUAUAUUGAUUUACUUAUGCUUUCCA